rnacentral:rRNA from 1 species
UACGUAGGGUCCGAGCGUUGUCCGGAAUUAUUGGGCGUAAAGGGCUCGUAGGCGGUCUGUUGCGUCGGGAGUGAAAACUUACAGCUUAACUGUGAGCGUGCUUCCGAUACGGGCAGACUUGAGGUAUUCAGGGGAGAACGGAAUUCCUGGUGUGAGCGGUGAAAUGACGCAGAUAUCAGGAGGAACACCGGUGGCGAAGGCGGUUCUCUGGGAAGUAUCCUGACGCUGAGGAGCGAAAGUGUGGGGAGCGAACAGG